UACAGAGGUCUCAAGCGUUGUUCGGAUUCAUUGGGCGUAAAGGGUGCGUAGGUGGCGCCGUAAGUCAGGUGUGAAAUUUCGGAGCUUAACUCCGAAACUGCAUUUGAUACUGCGGUGCUUGAGGACUGGAGAGGAGACUGGAAUUCACGGUGGAGCAGUGAAAUGCGUAGAUAUCGUGAGGAAGACCAGUGGCGAAGGCGGGUCUCUGGACAGUUCCUGACACUGAGGCACGAAGGCCAGGGGAGCAAACGGG
rnacentral:rRNA from 1 species